AUGGGAGAUCGCAGCGAGAUCUUGGCGCCGCCGCCGGCGGCCGAGCACGACGUCCCCGAUGAGCUUCUCGAGCUAGUGUUCCUGCGCCUCUUCUGUCCUCUCAGCCUCGUCCGCGCCGCAUGUGCGUGCAAGCGCUGGCGCCGCAUCAUCGCUGACGGCGCCUUUCUCGGCUGCCUCCGAUCUCUCCGCGCGCCCCCUCUCGUUGCCGGACACUACCGCGUCGACGAGCCUGUGCACGGGGCGUGCCGGCCCGUCUGCAACCCCGUCUUCUUCCCCUCGCCGUUGUUGGCGGACGCCGUCGGCCUGCGGCCUGAGCGCCUGUCGCUCGAGUUCCUCCCGGGAUGCGACGGCGGCUCGUGGCACAUCGCCGACAGUCGAGGCGGCCUCCUCGUCCUGAACAAGUGCGCGAAGCGUCGCUUCCGCGACCUCGUCGUCUGCGACCCCACGACGCGGUGCUACAGGGUGAUCCCGCCCCCGGCGAGCCUUCGCGGCCGCCUCUACCGCGGCGCCUUCCUGCUCGACGGCGACGCCGCUGACGAGGCGGCCGGCCAGCGCACCAGCCUGUCAAAUUUCAGGAUAAUAGUCGCGCUCGGACUGAACGUCGUUGCCAGGGCGUGCGUGUUCUCCUCCGGCACAGGCCGCGACGGCGGCUGCUGGACCAUGGCGCCGGUCGCGGCAGACCACCGCGUGAAGCCCAUGACAGAGUUAUGCUUGGCGAGGCAUGUCGGGAACUCUGUCUACUGGACGACCUUGCGCACCGAAAUCAUCACCCUCGACAAGGACACGGCGCAGUUCUCCUGCUCCUUGUUCCCGGACGACAUGUAUUUCUGCUAUGGGCUUGAGUUCGUAGGCUGUGGUGGCGGCAGGGUGCGCAUUGCCCGCCUGGACCAUAGAGAUCUCAAGGUCUUCGUCUUCAUACAAGGCAGCCAUGAAUGGGUACUGGAGAACAGUGUCCCAUUGCCGCAGUUGAUCGGCGAGGUUCAAGGUCAUGGUGAGUUGAAGGUCAACAUGCCGAAGAAGGUUGUCUCGGUGGGGGAGGGCUCCGUCGUGUUGUGCACGGAGAAAGGCGUGGGGCUCGUCUCCGUCGACCUCGCCACCAUGGAGUCGGAGCGCCUUCACGACGGGAACAAGUACUACGGGCCAGCGUACAUGUACCAGCUGCCAUGGCCUCCCACCAUCCGAGCUUGCUUGCCCUGA
rnacentral:rRNA from 1 species